GAUGAACGCUGGCGGCGUGCCUAAUACAUGCAAGUCGAGCGAACGGACGAGAAGCUUGCUUCUCUGAUGUUAGCGGCGGACGGGUGAGUAACACGUGGAUAACCUACCUAUAAGACUGGGAUAACUUCGGGAAUCCGGAUCUAAUACCGGAUAAUAUUUUGAACCGCAUGGUUCAAAAGUGAAAGACGGUCUUGCUGUCACUUAUAGAUGGAUCCGCGCUGCAUUAGCUAGUUGGUAAGGUAACGGCUUACCAAGGCGACGAUGCAUAGCCGACCUGAGAGGGUGAUCAGCCACACUGGAACUGAGACACGGUCCAGACUCCUACGGGAGGCAGCAGUAGGGAAUAUUCCGCAAUGGGCGAAAGCCUGACGGAGCAACGCCGCGUGAGUGAAGAAGGUCUUCGGAUCGUAAAGCUCUGUUAUUAGGGAAGAACAUAUGUGUAAGUAACUGUGCACAUCUUGACGGUACCAAAACAGAAAGCCACGGCUAACUACGUG
rnacentral:rRNA from 1 species